UCUCCUCCCCAAGCCGCCGCCACGAUCUCCUUCCCCCUGACCCCGAGCUGCUGCCGUCGUCGCGCAUCUUCCCUUCGCAGGCCUGAGGUUAGGUUGCAGCCGUCAGGACGGUCCUGGGCGCUCAGGAGGAGCCCUCGAUCUGAGCUACGAGCGGCAAGAGAAUAUGAGGUGAAGUUGAGGACGAGCUCGGAUGGGGCAGGACUCAGCGUCGACGCUUUCUUGGCCGCGUCCCUGAGCUGCUCAUGGCGAAAUUUCCAUGGGAUACAGUUCCUGUGAAGGUAACGUUCAGCCUUCUCUCCUGCUCUAGCGAAAACCCAAGUUAUUUUAAUGUUUCUUCUGAAAUAAUAUCCUCAAUACGUUUGGUUGGGCAUGUCGUGGAGGUAGCCUUUAAUUACACUACCUACUACUCGCUCAAAUGUCCUUUUGCCUCAUCCUCAUUUGUCCAAGACCACCGUCUGAUCUUAGAAGGUAAAUAAAUCAUGAAACUAUAUUUACUCUGUACAAGCCACUUGAAGAAGAGUCUGACAUUUUUUCAAUAGUAAGCAACUUGAUUGCAUAGUACAGAUUAUAGUACAAAGCCACUUGAAGCAUGUUCUGUCAUUUUGCCAUUGCAUUUCCCUUUCUUGUGUACUCAUAAAAUUGUGUCUUUUGUUAUUGAGGUGAAGUUGAGGACGAGCUCGGAUGGGGCAGGACUCAGCGUCGACGCUUUGUUGGCCGACACUAUCAGCCUUCUCUAAACAAAUAGUUAUGUGUCCGUGCUUAGCAUAUAAAAAGGAAGCUGAAAACUGGAUUUAGAUGAUAUUUUGUCUGGUAUAUACAAUUCAUGCUUGAUUGCUAAUUAUUUAUCUCUUUAUAGGGUGGUAAGAGUAGUAAACAAAUGAGUAAUACAAAUAAUCUUGUUUCCAUUUCUUUAUUUUUCUACAUGAAAAACAGAGGUUCAUUUCAUAACACAGUAAUGUUGUUUACAUCUUGAAGCCACAACCCAGUAGUUCCAGCAACCCUUGCCUUAUGGGAAAGGUCAUCUGUGGUGUGCCCUUCUUACCUGAAUCCGAGAAAAUCGACCAGGUUUUGCUCUUUCUCUGCCGACACUCGUGGUUCUUAUCUGUUGGAUCCUUGGUAUUUUUCUCACUCAUGGUUCCUUUUUAUUUUUCCAUAUUUAUGCCUUCCUCUCUUUUGUACAAUCAACUUAAUAGCUUUAUAAAGUUUACAGAGUUAUUGAGUAGAAUAACGGGUGAGGAAAAGUAUGUAGAAUCAUUUUGAUGAUGUUGAAGCUGAGAUUAUUAUACGUGGGCAUACUAUCAACCAUAUAUUUUGGCGAAUUCUUUAGCUUAAUUGAUUUUACUAAUUCUAAUUCGUUUUGCUUCCAGGCAGAUACUGAAACUUUUUCCACUAUGUUUUGCUGAUUUGUAGCAUCUCUUUGGCCCUCUCAUUGUGAUUAUAUGAAGUUUUGUAUUCGAAGAUUGUUAAAGGUAGUUAGAUCCUUCACUGUCCGAGUUCGAUUACCUUUAGAAUUCUAGGUUUUAUAAGUUGACACACCUCCAUGCCGAUGAGCUUUCUAUAGAAGCUCCGGUAUGUAACUAAUCAUGCAACACUUGUCAUGCUUUUAUAUCCCUGAUGUGUGUUACGGUUUGGCAUUUUAUCUCCUUUAUAUAAACCUCCACUCAUGUUGAUGUGUUAUCUCCUUAUAUUCCUAGCCGCUGCCGUGGGAGAUCAAUUGGUGCAGCCACCUCUUCUUUACCACACUUGGGAGGAUAUAAA